CAAUAGCGUAUAUUAAAGUUGUUGCGGUUAAAAAGCUCGUAGUUGGAUUUCUGCUGAGAACGACCGGUCCGCCCUUUGGGUGUGUAUCUGGCUCUUUCUUGGCAUCUUCUUGGUGAACGUUGCUGCACUUGACUGUGUGGAGCGCUACCCAGGACUUUUACUUUGAGGAAAUUAGAGUGUUUCAAGCAGGCAUACGCCUUGAAUACAUUAGCAUGGAAUAAUAAGAUAGGACCUCGGUUCUAUUUUGUUGGUUUCUAGAGCUGAGGUAAUGAUUAAUAGGGAUAGUUGGGGGCAUUCGUAUUUAACUGUCAGAGGUGAAAUUCUUGGAUUUGUUAAAGACGGACAACUGCGAAAGCGUUUGCCCAGGAUGUUUUCAUUG
rnacentral:rRNA from 1 species